CCUCUGUCUCUCUGUCUCUCUCUCUCUCUCCUCCUCUGUAACUCUUUCCCAGCCCCUCCACCAACCCUCCCUGCCUGCUCUCCCUCUCCAUCUAUCCUUGUCUGGUGGCUGGACAGGGCCGUGUUUCUGCAGUUUUAGUGGCGCCUUAUUGGGCGGCCUGAGGCGCUGGGGGGUCGGUUGAUUGGCCAUCUAGUGUCAGGAUGAGUGAGAUCCUGACCAGGUGCAGCACUGAUGCACAGACGAUGGAGAGGGGAGGAGAGGAGUAGCCCUAGUCGGGGAAGGAGAGCCAGCAGAGGGCCUGGGUGUGGCGGGUGUCGAGUUUGUAAGGCGUUCAUGCGUGUGUGUGCGUAAAUGGGAUUGGGCCUAUGUGUCUCAGUGUAUCCCUCUCUUUUCUCAAAACCAACUACCGUGCUUUUUUCUGUCUUGUAUUAUUAUAUAUAUUACGUAUGGUAUAUUGUAGUUCAUAAUGAACUCAAAUGGGAGGGCGUUGCACUCUUCAUGUGCGUGCAGACAAUGUGUGCAUUGUUGCACCCCUGGUAAAGUCUGCUGACUCUAAAGAGCUUGACUCCGGUCGUUCCACUGAGCGCCCCGCUCACUGUGAGAGAGCUGAUGCACUUUAAUACGCUACGUUGGAUGUUUGUUAAGCUUGACAAACCUCUUAAGAAAAACCGGGGUUAAUCUAAGAGCAAGCUGGCGUGUAAGAGAUUGAUCGAGGUAGAACGAUUUCUUAGUUGAAUUGCAGGCGUCAACCACGUAGGCAAUUGAUUCUGGGUUGUUAUUGGUUGUUAUAUUCCAUAUCCCCCCCCAGGUCUGUCACGGUUUAUCUUUCCUUUCACUUCUAUUGACCCUUUUAUCAAGCAGGAUAGUCCAGGAUGUGCUUUAGAAAACACAAACUCAGACAUGCAAAUACCCCCCCCAACCACCACCACCACCUGCUCUUGGACGUCAUCCAGGGAAGGGGUGUGUGUGUGUGUGUGUGUGUGUGUGUGUGUGUGUGUGUGUGUGUAUGUGUGUGUGUGUAUGUGUGUGUGUGUGUGUGUGUGUGUGUGUGUGUGUGUGUGUGUGUGUGUGUGUGUGUGUGUGUGUGUGUGUGUGUGUGUGUGUGUGUGUAGGGGCCCAAUACAUCGUUGUCUCCCAGCUACAUGGGGGCCCCGUCAGCAUCUGUUCAAGGUGAACCUCUAGCACAGCAUGUGUUAGAGAAAGAGAGGGAUAAAGGUGAGAUGGAGAGAGGCCUUUUUUGGUAAAACUUCAUGACACAUUGCAAAUUAGUUUUAGUAAAACUAGAUUUUACAAGUCUUAGUUGUAAUAUUAUUACCUUGCGUUAUUAAAGCUAUUCCAUUUAGUUAAAGUCAAACCAAGCCCUGUUAUAUCAUUGGAAAAACAGGCUUUAUCAUAACCUAAUAUUCACAUUCAAGGUUUACCCUAGAUUUCACAAAGUACCUAAAAACUGUGAUGUAUUCUGACCCUUGCUCUCACUAUCUAUUCCAUUCCUUCUCAGCCUAAAAUGUGUUGCAUUCAAAAAGUAAAGACAGAGAGACAGCGGAAGAGAGAUGUAUAGAAAGAGUGGAGGCGAUGUGCGUGGUGAGUUGGGCACAGACAGAUCCCAGACAUCCAGCCGCGCAUGCUUAAUCCUGCAGACUUUCCUGCCAUCCACCGUGUCUAAGUACCCCUGGAGUUCCCAGAAGGAAUGGUGAGCAGCUAACAUCUGCUGUCCCCUGCAGUUCCUCCUGAAACGUGCGGUGGAGGGCCAACAGCCGCUCUGAGAGUGAACAAUCCCACAUCAAUAAUACUGGAUGCAAUACUUAAACCAUUCUUUGUGUUUACCAUAGUGCCAUCUCCAUCUUCCUGCUACUACACCUGCCAUGAGCGUCUGAGAAUAGCAAACAGCCUUAAACCAAACAACCUUGAAACAACAAACACGAAAGCUUGUCAUAUGCUCACCCAAUGAAGCUUCUAUUGUAGACCAGAAAGCUCUUCUGGUCAAGUCCUUCCAUUUUUUUUAAUAUAUUUCUUUUGCUAUGCAAGUUUGCUUGUUAAUGACAGGUCUGUUGUCAAGGUGACUGAAUGAGGGAUGAGAAGCUGAUUAAGCGCACCAAGGGGUCCUGUGCACAUUUGUAACCACUGACUUUUUAUGUAUUUAUAUACUGUGUGUGUGUCAUUGAAAGCAGUUAACCAAGGCGCAUGGAUAACCGAACAGAAUAAACAACAGUGGAUGUGUAAUGUACAAUCAAAGGCCCAAUCCCAUUUCUACCCCUUAUCCCUUCCCCUGCCCCCUUCCCUUUACCCCUUCAAAACAAGGGGGAGGGGUAAGGGGAAGGGGUAAGGGGUAGAAAUGGGAUUGGGCCAAUGUCUGUGUUGAAGCAUUUCAUGUUCAUGGGACAUAAGGUUGUCUCUGAGGGCUAGCAUGAGUCAAUGAUAUCAACCACACGCCCAAGGUAUAUACUGUUUCUAAAUGUGUCUAUGUAUCAGAAAAACAAUAAAAUAUACAAUAUUUUCAAUGCAAUGCCCCUGACAGACUGGCUGUGUGAUAAGAAGCAGGAUUUGUGGCAGAGAGGGGGUGGAAGAGAGUGAUCUAUUUUUACCUGAUGUAAAAUACCUCCUCAUAUCUCAGCCUCUCCUUUGAUAGUAGCAUCUGAGCGGCUUCACACACUAACAGCAAUUAGGAUGACAUGACGCUAACGACAGAAGUAACCAUUCAAGACUGAGAACAUAUUCACGGCUCCAGGGAAAAACAACAACGUGAGUCAUUGUGAAACGCGGUGUGUAUUUGCGUGUGUGUCAUUUUCUGAUUUGCAUAAAGGCAAAGAAUAGGAUUAAUGCAUUCAUCCAUCCAUCCAUCUGGAACACCUUUUCCAGGCAGGGCAGACUGAAAAACCGGAGACCCUUUCUCCUGGGCAUUGAGAAACUAUGAGCAGA
ensembl:lncRNA